rnacentral:rRNA from 1 species
AACGAACGCUGGCGGCGCGCCUAAUACAUGCAAGUCGAGCGAGAAGGUGUAGCAAUACACUUGUAAAGCGGCGAACGGGUGAGGAAUGCAUGGGUAACCUACCCUCGAGUGGGGAAUAACUAGCCGAAAGGUUAGCUAAUACCGCAUACGUUUCCGGAACUUCGGUUUCGGAAAGAAAGCAAUACCGUGGGUAUUGCGCUCCUGGAUGGGCUCAUGUCCUAUCAGCUUGUUGGUGAGGUAACGGCUCACCAAGGCUUCGACGGGUAGCUGGUCUGAGAGGACGAUCAGCCACACUGGCACUGCGACACGGGCCAGACUCCUACGGGAGGCAGCAGUAAGGAAUAUUGCGCAAUGGAACGAAAGUCUGACGCAGCGAACGCCGCGUGGGGGAUGAAGGUCUUCGGAUUGUAAACCCC